rnacentral:rRNA from 1 species
GAUGAACGCUGGCGGCGUGCCUAAUACAUGCAAGUCGAGCGAACAGACGAGGAGCUUGCUCCUCUGACGUUAGCGGCGGACGGGUGAGUAACACGUGGAUAACCUACCUAUAAGACUGGGAUAACUUCGGGAAACCGGAGCUAAUACCGGAUAAUAUAUUGAACCGCAUGGUUCAAUAGUGAAAGACGGUUUUGCUGUCACUUAUAGAUGGAUCCGCGCCGCAUUAGCUGGUUGGUAAGGUAACGGCUUACCAAGGCGACGAUGCGUAGCCGACCUGAGAGGGUGAUCGGCCACACUGGAACUGAGACACGGUCCAGACUCCUACGGGAGGCAGCAGUAGGGAAUCUUCCGCAAUGGGCGAAAGCCUGACGGAGCAACGCCGCGUGAGUGAUGAAGGUCUUCGGAUCGUAAAACUCUGUUAUUAGGGAAGAACAAAUGUGUAAGUAACUAUGCACGUCUUGACGGUACCUAGUCAGAAAGCCACGGCUAACUACGUG